CUCUGCCUCACCUUUCUUCCCCACCUACCCGCAUGUCACACACACUAUAGCCCGGGCAGCGGCGGACGGCAGCCCCGAGCGGAGGCGGACGGAGGCCCCGAGCGGUGGCGGGCGGAGGUGGAUCCGGCAGACGGCGAUCGAAGGCGUACCGGAGAAGGAAGGACGCGCAGGCUGCUGCUGCUGGGGUUCAAUCUCCACCCCCAGCCUUGUUCGUGCUCCGGCGGAAACCCGCAGUCCACGGAUUUCCGGCGCGAGAUUGAGUGUAUGCGUGAUGGGAGCUAGUAGUGGAGCGGCAGAUGGCGAGGCUCGGCGCUGAGCUCGACGGAAUGGGCUAUUGUCCGUGCUCGCGGACGCGCCGGUGACCGCGGCGGCCCCUAGCAUCUCGGAGCAGAGGAGCGCCGAAGGGAAUCAGCCGGCGAUGUAGCAGGUGCUGCCGGUGGUGCACGGGGCGGAUCUGGCCGGAACCAGGUCGAAGGUCGUCGUCCUGCUUCCCGGGUCCCCUCCGAGCUCGUCGUCGUCGCCCCAAGCCGAGCUCAGGAAGAGGAUGGGGAAGACAAUAGGGAGUUGGUGAGGCUGUGCACGCUUGGGCUUGAGCGAGUUGGAUGGAUUUGGUUUGGAGAGCCAGGUCGCGGCGGCGUUGCUGAUCGGAGUUGGUGGGACGGCAGGGUCGAGCUGCGGUGGCGCCAUGGCUGCGCGACGCCAUCGACACCAGGCUCACGGGGUUCGUCUCCCAUACAGAGGGGAUCCCCGUCAGGCGCCGCAAGAGACGAUGGUGCUUCCUGUCAAGUUCCCACGGUUCUUCAAUGUCAAGGAGAGGCGAUGGAGGGCGUUUAUGUUGUACAUGCCGACAUGGACUUGGACGUCCUACUUUGCCAAAGCCAUGACGACGGAGACACCUUUCACUCAUGCAGGUAAACGAGCACUUGUUUUUGUUGUGUGCUAAUUUUGGAGAUUCGAGACCAAGUCAAGAAGCUGGAUGAUGAUGUUAAUCAAGAGCUUAUGCAUGUUUGCGUCUUAUAUAUGUCUUUCUAUUCGGAUGACUCGAAAAAUAGGAGAUAGAAGCACAGUGGAUAUCUGGCCAGAGAUGGUGGCACAAUUAUCUAAAAUCUGACCACUUUCUUUGCCUGCAAGGUCGGUUUUUUACCUUGUUGAUUGAGUUAUUUUGUUAAUAAAGCAUGCAGUACAUGUUUAGGUAACUUCACAGCUUCUCACUGAAGGGGAUGCACUGUUCUCGAUUCUUAUAUAUACGAUGCAAAUCUGUGAGAUCCAAUUUUCAGUCAAUCAUGCUAUAUGUAGUUAAUUUACAGAUUUUUCUAAUUAGUCUGAUGUGAUGCUAAUUAACCAAAUUUCAUGACAAAUUUACAAAUUAUAGUUCAUAGCACUACCAAAUGUAUAGUUAAUGUCAACUAAAAUAUGUUUUUGCCAUGUAAAGUCAAACUACGCUACGAUGCAACUCAAAAAUUAUAACAAGUUGGCAUGGCAACUUGUUAUAAUUGAUACUCAUUUUUUUCUAUCAUUUCUCAUGAAUUUUAGACAUCAUUUAAUUUCUUAUACCAUGGCAAAUCACUAUGACUAGACAUCGUUUGUAGCAUGGAAAAUUUACUUCAUUUUCUAUGGAAAAUGUUUACUCUACUUUUGCCAUGGCAAAUUUCUACGUUCUUUUGCCAUAUCUAUCAGAAGAAUGUUGCCAUGGCAACUACAAAUUAGUUCAAGAACAUGGCAAACUACUAUCUUUGCACAUGGCAAAUUCUUAUAUUUGCACAUGGCAAACUCGUAACACUUUGCUUUCACAUCAUCCAUCUCAAAUUGUACAAAUUAUAACACGUAAACUAUUUUAGAGGUGGCCACACAAAUAUAGCACUAUGGCAAUUUUCCAAACAUGGCAAAUACUUUAAUUAUACCAUGGCAAAUCUAGUAAUUAUCACAUGGCAAAAUACAUGGGGAAUAUUUCACAUGACAAUAUUUAAAACUUGUCAAAUGGCAUUUUUUAAUUUUUUUUCCUGUAAUGUUCACAUGUCAAGUUUUGUCUACACAUGGCAAACUUAGAAACAUUUUUUCUAAAUUCACACGGAAAAUUCACAACAUUUUUUGUAUACUAAACAUGGCAAAUGAGGUGUUUUUUUGUAACACUCCCAUGACAAUCUUUAUGUUUUUUCUCACUUAACCAUGGAAAAUUUAAUUUAUUGAUCAUGGCAAAUUUAGUUUAUUGAUCAUGGCAAUUUUGGUUUAUUGAUCAUGACAAAUUUAGUUUACAAUUCAUGGCAAAUUUAGUUUAUUGAUCCUGGCAAAUCUAGUUUUCAAAUCAUGGCAAAUUUAUUUUACAAUCUCACAUGGCUAUUUUCAUGUUCAUACUUGAUUUUUCCACUUUUUGUGUUUUUUCACACACGGCAAAUUCAUAAUACAAACACACGACAAUUCUUGAUACGAAUUUGCCAUGGCAAGUUUUGAUACGAAUCUGCCAUGGCAAUUUUCUCAUUCAUAUUUUUGAUUUUCAACUUUUUGUGUGUUUUACACACACGGCAAAUUCAUCGUACCAAAAGAUGGCAAUACUUGAUACAAAUCUGCCAUGCCAAGUUUUGAUACAAAUUUGGUUUAUUGAUCAUGGAAAAUUUUAGUUUAUUGGUUCAUGGCAAAUUUAGUUUACUAUCAUGGAAAAUUUAGUUUAUUGAUCAUGACAAAUUUAGUUUUCAAAUCAUGGCACUUUAGCUUACAUGAAUUUUUAUGCCAUGGCAAGUUUCAAUAUGAAUCUGACAUGGCAAUUUUCUUGUUCAUAUUUGAUUUUCAUUUUUUUGUUUUUCUCACAUGGUAAAUUCAUCAUACAAAAUAAGGCAAUUCUUGAUACGAAGCUGCCAUAGAAAGUUUCUUGUUCAUACUUGAAUUCCCAACUCUUUGUGUUUUUUUUCUACACGAUAAAUUCAUCAUACGAAACACGGCAAUUCGUUGAUACCAAUCUGCCAUAGAAAAUCUCUUUUGUCCAUACUUGAUUUUCAACCUUUUGUGUUUUUUCUCACACAUGGCCAAAUUCUCCUUCAAAACACAACAAUUUAAUUUAAAAUUUCAUGGCAAUUGUAAUUAAAAAUGCCAUUGCCUUUUAAUAUUUUAUUGUCCUGUCAAAUUUUGUGUUCUUUUCACAUGAAUUUUUCGACUAUUUGUGUUUUAUUCACAUGGCAAUAUUGAAUUUAUUUUGUCAUGGCAGAUUUGCCAUAUUUCAUUGGGGGAUUAAAUAUGUGUUUAUAACCUUUGGCAUUGUUAAAAACAAUAUAAUGGCAAAUAGUUUGGUCAAACUCUAAUGGCAAAUUUUCUGCUAUUUUCAAAGCUGAUGGCAUUUUUUUGUAGCUGGGCAAAAUCUGGUCUUUUAUUUACCACGGGGAAAAACAAAAUCUGGGCAUUUUCAUUUAAUUCUUUAUGAAUGGGCUUUUUGUUCCUUUUUUCACAGGGAAAGGGCAUGUUGUGGAGGCCUGCAGGCUAUGGGUUCCCCUGACGAACUAAUUUGUACGGGGGAUCGAUCCCCUAGUACCGAACGAAUCGGAAUCGUGUGGUAGGGUGUUUCUCCUGCCACACGUGUGGACAGUUCUAAUAUUCUCCCACACAACAUCAUGUGGGCUGCCUGCUGGAUAUGCCACACAGGGCCGUGUGGGCGAGUGUCCAUUGUGCCACACGUGUGGCAGUUAUCGGCGUCCAUAAUUUUUGAUUGUUCCAUGCUGUUAUAUUAUCAUUGUUGGAUGUUUUACAAUCAUUUUAUAGCAAUUUUAUAUCAUUUUUUGGGACUAACCUAUUAACAUAGUGCCAAGUGCUAGUUGUUGUUUUCUGCUUGUUAUUUAUAUCGCGGGGAAUCAAUACCAAACUGAGUCCAAACGCAGCAAAACUUUUUGUGGAUUUUUUCUGUACCAGAAGA